AAGUACUGGAGUGGCCGUCAGGUGUCCUCAUCGUCGCCUUUGUUUGCCUGAGUGUCCUGGGAUUGCGUGUGAUUUGUGCCUCACUUCCCCUCAUUUCGAAACUUUCCCGGCGAUAAGGAAACCCAGAAUGAUCUCCAGAAAUUGCAGAAGCUGUAGGGAAGCCGCGGAACUUGUGACAGGAGGAAUGAAAAAAGACAUGGCGGUGGGGAGUGCAAUUUACUACAGUGACCUCAAUGUUGGCGGAAGACGACCUUAACAGAGAAAGGCUUAAGAAUAAAAGGUCAACAUUCUGACACAAUGGACAAUAUUAUUUAACACGUUUGGUGAUUACGGUGGCAACAGUUGGCACCCCUGCACACUAGGGAUGCUUGCCAUUAUGACCUGGGAAAUAGGAUCAUAUUCUGAGACUUCUGCGCCGCACCCCCACUGCUUUCAAAAUACUUUAUUUGAAGCUGCACGAGUUUUUAAGGGUGUUUUUACGGUUUUAACGACGGAUUAGCAACAUUUCCAUAUUAUUAUCAGGAGAAACACUAGGAUGCUUGCCAUUAUGACUUGGGAAAUAAGAUCAUAUUCUGAGACUUUUGCGCCGCACCCACAAUGCUUUCAAAAAUGCUUGAAGCUACACGAGUUUUUAAGAGUGUUUUUUUUUACGGUUUUAGCGACGGAUUAGUAACAUUUCCAUAUUAUUAGCAGGAGAAACACUCUUGAAAACCCAGCUUAUCAUCUCUGUAGCCUUUGAAAAUAAUGGUGGUGGGAGAGCAGACCGCCUCAAAAUAAGGGGCAUAAAUCGGCUUUUCAGCAUCGUCAAACCAUGCAUACCAACCUUACCGACGCGACACGUGAUCUGUGCGUCCAGGAAGUCAAGUUAAAGCCUGCCUUGUCAGUAUUGUUGUGUUGGUAUUCGUGUGGGUGGACAUACCUGGUCAUCGGUACCUGUCUGUUUGUCUGUGUUUAGUUGAUGAUCAGAUUUCGAGGCUACACAAAGGACAGGUAGACUCCUCCAUAUUUUUCUGCUGUGUUCUUUUAUGUUCUUAAGAUAUAUGUUCUUAUAAUGUGUGAAAAUAUGUUCCUGUAUAAUUAAUAAUGCUGUAUUCUUGUUCUUGUAAAAUACUGAAAAGAAAAUGAUGUCCACGCCACUUGAAUUAAUCUUGUUAGCAAUUUUUAUAAAGGAUAUGAUUUGGGAUUAAAAGUAUGCAAGGGGUAGGAGAGAUUCAAGCUUAUUUUUUUUUUUCUUUGUUCUUGUGUGCUUAUAAAUCUCGCCAGUAACUUGGGAUUCAUUAGUCGUGGAUGGGAUUGAUGUGGCGUCCAUUGCCUGCUGUGUUAUCGUGCUCUUAAAAAAAAAAAAUAACAUCCAUGCAACUUAAAUUGAUGUCGGUAAUUCAAAAAGGAUAAAGUUCAGAACUGAUUAGGCAAGGAAUAUGAUAAUUCUGUCCACCUCUGUGCUCCUGUGUUCUUUUAAAUAACAGAAAGCCAUGCACGCCACACGAAUCUUUGCAGGUAUAAAAAGGGACUUGGGAUGUAGAAGAUAAAGGACAAGAUUGACCGGACCAUCAUUGUCUGUCUUGUUCUUGUGUUGAGUGAUGAAUAAAUGACAGAAAAUCAUCCUCGCCUAUCAACUGAAUCGUUUACCAUUAAUGAAAAUAAAAGGUUCAAAUAAUAUACUUCAUUCUGUAAGUACUAAAAAGAUAAAUAUUUAUUUAAAAAAGUGAAUGAUUUAACAGUGUACUCUCUCUCUCUCUCUCUCUCUCUCUCUCUCUCUCUCUCUCUCUCUCUCUCUCUCUCUCUCUCUCUCUCUCUCUCUCUCUCUCUCUCUCUCUCUCUCUCUCUCUCUCUC